GCAGGCGUAGUUUAAUGGCAGAACCCCAGCUUCCCAAGCUGGCUACGAGGGUUCGAUUCCCUUCGCCUGCUCCA
rnacentral:tRNA from 1 species